UCGCCAUCUUGGAUAAACUAUUUUUUUAGAAAUACGGUAUUUCGACUCACAAUCAUAUUAUGAUCUUAUGAAAAGUAGUAGUAUCUCAUGGAUUCUUUUGGAUACCCUAUAAAGUGAGCUAUAAUAGAUCUAUUCUCUAGCUUAUUUGUCAUUUGUCUCUUAAUAUAGAUCGAACAUCUUCAAGUCUUGAGAUUAUCCA
rnacentral:lncRNA from 1 species